rnacentral:snRNA from 1 species
AUACCUUUCUCGGCCUUUUGGCUAAGAUCAAGUGUAGUAUCUGUUCUUAUCAGUUUAAUAUCUGAUAUGUGGGCCAUGUGCCCACAACGAUAUUAAAUUUAUUUUUUGUGGGGGAGGGCUCACCACAGUAGCUUGCUGCUGGGGUCCUCAAGUGUCCACCGAGCGUUGCACUACAGCUCGGGCGUGGCGCACCCCAA